UCUUCACACUGGGUAGUAGUCCCUCAACGAAUACAUCGUUCAGCUCGCAAACAUGAAAACUGUCAUAGUACUGCUCGCCCUAGUGGCUGUUGCCACAGCAAUGCAGCCAUUUUAUCACCCACAAGACCAAUUUCCCAUGGUUGAAAUCAUGCCCAUAAAAACUUUAGGUAACAGACAGUUGGGCAAAAUUGUCGAAUCGCUUGCAGGGCUUGUUGAAGGAUUUCUUAAUGUUUUCGAAGCAACACGCCGUGGCGAUCCUGUUGAUCGUGAGAACAUGCGUCAGCUUGGCAUUUUGAUCUCACUUUUACCUUCCAUCGUAGAUACUAUCUAUGGAAUAUUUGGUCAUCCAGCAUAAUUUGAAAAGGAUUUCCAACCCACAAGUGAAGUGAGACUUUCACUGAAAGGCCUCAAAGAAAUGAGAGCUGUGAUGGAAAUGGACGAUCAUAAAUUUCACUAUUGGCAUAAAUAAAUCUACAUUCAUGCAUGCAAA